AAGCGGUGGAUCAUGUUGUUUAAUUCGAUGAUACGCGAAGAACCUUACCAGGUCUUGACAUCCCCGCGAUGCUUUAGAGAUAAAGCGGAGGUAUUCGGGGAGACAGGUGGUGCAUGGUUGUCGUCAGCUCGUGUCGUGAGAUGUUGGGUUAAGUCCCGCAACGAGCGCAACCCUUGCCUUUAGUUGCCAGCAGUUCGGCUGGGCACUCUAAAGGGACUGCCGGUGUUAAACCGGAGGAAGGUGGGGAUGACGUCAAGUCCUCAUGGCCUUUAUGACCAGGGCUACACACGUACUACAAUGGCCGAUACAAAGGGCAGCGACACUGCGAGGUGAAGCCAAUCCCGUAAAAUCGGUCUCAGUCCGGAUUGGAGUCUGCAACUCGACUCCAUGAAGUUGGAAUCGCUAGUAAUCGUGGAUCAGCAUGCCACGGUGAAUACGUUCCCGGGCCUU
rnacentral:rRNA from 1 species